rnacentral:misc_RNA from 1 species
AAAUUACAUCAGUGUGAAAAGAAAUUUUGAUAGUGUGUGUUAAUAAUUAAAAUGGCGAUUUGAGAAUCAUAUUCUUGAGUGUUAUUAUAUUAUUUGCGUAAAAUAUUGAUAGAAGACUUCAAAUAGUCGUUUUUAUACAGCAGUGUUGAAUAUUUAGUCGAGUUUACCAUGCGUUCAGUAGUAGAAAUUGGGGCCAGUGUGCCUGCGUUUCUAGGAAAAUUAUGGAAACUGGUCAACGAUACAGAGACCAAUCAUCUGAUUUCCUGGAGCCCUGGCGGGAAAACAUUUGUCAUAAAAAACCAGGCAGACUUUGCAAGGGAACUAUUACCUUUAUAUUACAAACAUAACAAUAUGGCAAGCUUCAUCAGGCAGUUGAAUAUGUAUGGAUUUCAUAAGAUUACUUCUGUGGAAAAUGGUGGCUUACGAUAUGAAAAGGACGAAAUAGAAUUUUCACACCCUUGCUUCAUGAAAGGACAUGCAUAUCUUUUGGAACACAUUAAAAGAAAGAUUGCCAACCCAAAGUCAAUAGUAACUAGCAAUGAGAGCGGAGAGAAAGUACUUCUGAAACCAGAGCUGAUGAACAAAGUGCUGUCUGAUGUGAAACAAAUGAAAGGCAAGCAGGAGAGUCUGGAUGCCAAGUUCAGUGCCAUGAAACAGGAAAAUGAAGCUUUGUGGAGAGAAGUUGCUAUUCUGAGACAGAAGCACAUAAAACAACAGCAAAUUGUUAACAAUCUUAUUCAAUUCCUUAUGUCACUGGUUCAACCAACUAGGCCACCCAAUGCAACUGGAAACAAUGUGGGAGUAAAGAGACCAUACCAAUUGAUGAUCAACAGUGCAGCACACAAUUCUGGUACAGACGGAUCUUACCCUGGCAGAUCAAAGAACAUGAAAUUAGACAGAGAUAAUUUAUUGGAUGAGUUAAAUGAGGAUAAUUUGGAGGAUGGACCUACCAUUCAUGAGCUGGCACAUGAUGAUAUCAUGCACAAUGAAAACACUCAGGACUCCAUGCCUGGAAACGAUUUCAUCACAGUGGAUAUACCUAACAUGACAAAUGCUACCACCAGCCAUAGCCCAAAUGACCCCUCUGCCUCCAUAUACCAUGUCACAAUGGAAGAUGGGGAUGAUGCUGAAACAGGUGCAAACCGAUUGGUAUAUCCAGUAGCACGUAACAAUGGUAUGAAUAGGACACCAGAAAGCAUGCCAAUCAUUACAUCAGCAUCUCCAACACCACUCGCAACUUCUUCAAUGGACCAGAAUGGAUUAGAUCAAGUUGUAAACAAUGUGAUGGGCUCACCGUCACCAAUCGUUGUAAAAGUUGAGGGACACGUGCCAACUAAGACGAAAGCUCGUACCAAUCCUGCAAAUAAGAGUACUGUUACAUCUGCAGGCAAAAGUCUAUCAUCAGGAAACUACAACACAUUAAACCCAUCAGCUGACUUGAAACUGCCAGCAGAAAUCUUUGCCAGUGAUGAUUCAGUCAGCGAUGCUGGAGUAGCGGCUGCUGAUGACCUUAACAUGCAAAAUGCACUCCAAGAUUUAGUUGAUGAGUCCCUACUAUCCACAUCAAAGGAUAAAAUGCUUGGUGGUAUCAAUAUUAAAGUAGAAAGGCUAGGAGAACCAUUAAAAGCUAAUAGGAAAUCUAAGAAAGGUAACAAAAGUACUGAAAACACCUUGAAUUUGGCUGAUAUUAAAACGGAAUUCCAGGAUGACUUUGAUUGGAACAAUAUGACUCUAGCAACUGUCAACAACAAUACUAAUAGGUUCCAGACAAGGAAUAGGAGAGAUAACCUCAGCAAAAAUCGGGAGGAAUAUUCUUCCCUCUUUGGAACAAAUUCAAACAAGAAUGAUAUUGAUGAUCAUUUGGAUGCGAUGCAAACAGACCUUGAAUCGCUAAGAGACCUGCUACGAAGUGACAGCUACGCAUUUGACACCAAUACGUUGUUGGGGACUCCUGAUGCAAGAAUAUUACCUUCGAUGUCUCUCGCUAUUCCUUCCUGUCAGCCUACAUCAAAUAAUUAUCUAUUUGGGUCUGAUGACCCGUUCUAUGGCCUGCCCUAUAACUCGAUGGAAGACAGGGCAAAAUCUGCUAAUAAUGAUACAACCAAACAGUAUCCGAUGAUUGAUUUUGAUUGGCUGAUCGGUAACAGCGAGGCCUCCUCUACAAAGUAGCCUGUUGCUACAUCAACUUGCAAGUUUUCAACGCUGACCGCGUCUCAGCCACGUGACGUGGUGGAUAUUUUUGGUAAAGGGUUAAUAUAGCCGUGGUGUUCUGGUCAGUGCUACGGACGAUAGGUAGACUGUCGCGACAAAAGUGACUCGAUUAGGGGUUCGCUCUCGAUUGACUCAAUUCGUCUCAAAAACGCAAUUUGUGCAGAACAGUGUAAAUUUCAUAUCAAUUUAUAUCAAAAAUUUUAUAUUAUGUGUAUGUAAAUAUUGUUAUCACAACUUUUAGAAGAUAGUAGUUGGGGAGAAUUAAGGCUCUACAGUUUACUGUGAGUUAUUGGGAAUAGACUAACGCACAAUGCCACAAAGUGGUUUAAUAUUUAAGAUUAUCAUUUUUGCCGCGACAUACAGACAAUUCCUUCUGUGAGCAUUAAGUGUAUGCCUAAGUUAUCUUGUUAAAAUAAGACAGUUUAAAUCUAUAAAUGUUAUAUUGUUAACCGUAAUUAUAUUUUAUUGUUAAUUAAAGCAAAGAAGCAGAAAGGUGAGAUUUCGAAUGUAAGCAGUGACGACACUCGCGUCCAGAACCUGUUUACUGAGGAUAAUGUUGAAGGGAAUCAGCUAAU